CCUACGGGAGGCAGCAGUGAGGAAUAUUGGUCAAUGGGCGAGAGCCUGAACCAGCCAAGUCGCGUGAGGGAGUCCUGCCCUAUGGGUUGUAAACCUCUUUUGUCGGGGAGCAAAAGCCCGACCUGUCCCGCUGUGAGAGUACCCGCCGAAAAAGCCUCGGCUAACUCCGUGCCCGCAGCCGCGGUUAUACGGAGGAUGCGAGCGUUAUCCGGGUUUUGUGGGUUUAAAGGGUGCGCAGGCGGGUUUUUAAGCCAGCGGUGAAAUCGUGGGGCUCAACCCCCGCCAGCCGUUGAAACUGGGGGUCUAGAGUGCGCGAGAGGUAUGCGGAAUGCGUGGUGUAGCGGUGAAAUGCAUAGAUAUCACGCAGAACCCCGAUUGCGAAGGCAGCAUACCGGUGCACAACUGACGCGCAGGCACGAAAGCGUGGGUAUCGAACAGGAUUAGAUACCCCUGUAGUC
rnacentral:rRNA from 1 species